CCGUCAGCUGAUAGGGAGAGAAUAAAAAACUUCCAGACAUUACAUAAUGUUAUUUGGAACAAUACACGCACUUCCUUUGUGAAAAGCUUGUUUACACGUUUUGGUCGGACAUAUCACACGUCAAGUGAGCACUGGUCAUAAUGAUGAGAAUCCUUUAUUGAGCUUCUUCUGCUUGGAAUAAGCUCCAUCAGCAUCAGACACCAAACACAGAUCCUACUUAGGUCUACAGCCGAGCAGGUGAAGUCCCACUGAGCGCUCAGAAUGCAGCAGGACGUUCCCUUCGCAAGCUGUGACUCACUGAGGCUGUGUGACUGUGUGACACACCUCACAUACUGUGAUCAGAUGAGUGUGUGUGUGUGUUCUCUUUUUUUUUAUUUCAAGCAACACUAGUUUCUUUUUUAUAUUAAUAUGAUGUCUUCAGAAUCAUUUUGAUGCUUCACAAACUUGUUUUCACAGUUCCCUGAACGCCUCGUGUUGCUCUGAGGAACUAUGGCGAACCUGUAGGAAACCACAACACUGACCUGUACAAUGAAUAUUAUGGACAAUGUGUUUAUAUCCAUUACACACACAGUAAAUGAGUAGAAAACAAGUUUCACUUCAGCUGAACUGAAACUCUGUGGUUAGUUUCCAUCUGACGUCUCAACUAAUAAAACUUUGUUCUGUCAGAAACUGUUCAA